GGAGGAGGUCGUGGAGGCGACUCGCCAGGCAGAGGUGGCGAUGAGUGGGCGUGUAUGCCAGCCGAGGGUAAGGCAGCCCUCAUUCUCCUCCACCUUGUAGCCCUCGCCUCCGGCGAAGAGGGCGAGAAGCGUGCUGGCCUGCUUGAACGCGUUGGACCCGAGGUGGACCGGGUCGAACCCGGCCCGAGUCAGUCUCCCGCGCCACUGGGACAGCGUCUCGUGCCGCUCGGUCCUCUCGGCGCCCUCACAUCCAAUAACGUUCAUGAUCUGCCGCCCUAGAUACACAUCCGACAUCAUCCGGUCGUUCAGCUGCUCGGGAGCGGCGGCAUCGCCGCCGUCCCCCUCCAGCGAGUCAAACAUCGUCGAGUAGUAGUGGAGUGCUUCCGUGAACCGGUCGAUGAAGUCAACCGCAUUGUGAUUCGCCUCCUGCUCCACAACAGUCAUAAUCCGCGGCCGGAGAGCUCGUACCAUCGCAAGCACCUUCCCAAUUCCGCUAGGCCGGGCUAAGAGACGGUGGAGCUCAAACACAGAAUUGACAGCAAUCACCUCCGGCUCCUCCCCGGCCGGCGGAGCCGGCGAUUCAAGCAUGAAAGGCUCAAGAUCCGCUAGGCUGUUCGCGACAAAGCCGCGGUACUCGAAAUCGACAUGGAUAGCAUGUGCGAGCUUGGCCAGAUUGUGGCCCACCUGCUGGAGAGCAUCUGUGUUGUCCGCCUGCGGCGGCCCAAUCCCCGUCAACCGGAACGACGGCGGGCCGCCGGGGCGGAGCGCCAGUGCCUGCAUCAGCG
rnacentral:misc_RNA from 1 species